GGGCGGGGUGGCGGAUAGUUGAUCCAGCGUUCAAUCGGAACGGCCCUUCCGGGUACUCGAGCGGCGAACGGGUGAGUAACACGUGAGUAACCUGCCCCAGGCUUUGGGAUAACCCCGGGAAACCGGGGCUAAUACCGGAUAUGACUGGCUGCCGCAUGGUGGUUGGUGGAAAGAUUUUUCGGCUUGGGAUGGACUCGCGGCCUAUCAGCUUGUUGGUGGGGUAAUGGCCUACCAAGGCGGCGACGAGUAGCCGGCUGAGAGGGCGACCACACACUGGGACUGAGACACACCCAGACUCCUACGGGAGGCAGCAGUGAGGAUCUGCACAUGAGCGGAAGCCUGAUGCAGCGACGCGCGUGAGGGAUGACGCCUUCGGGUUGUAAACCUCCUUCAGCAGGGACGAAGCGUUUGUGACGAUACCUGCAGAAGAAGCGCCGACCAACUACGUGCCAGCAGCCGCGGUAAGACGUAGGGCGCAAGCGUUGUCCGGAUUUAUUGGGCGUAAAGAGCUCGUAGGCGGCUUGUCGCGUCGACUGUGAAAACCCGUGGCUCAACUUCGGGCUUGCAGUCGAUACGGGCAGGCUAGAGUUCGGUAGGGGAGACUGGAAUUCCUGGUGUAGCGGUGAAAUGCGCAGAUAUCAGGAGGAACACCGGUGGCGAAGGCGGGUCUCUGGGCCGAUACUGACGCUGAGGAGCGAAAGCGUGGGGAGCGAACAGGAUUAGAUACCCUGGUAGUCCACGCUGUAAACGUUGGGCGCUAGGUGUGGGGGGCCUCUCCGGUUCUCUGUGCCGCAGCUAACGCAUUAAGCGCCCCGCCUGGGGAGUACGGCCGCAAGGCUAAAACUCAAAGGAAUUGACGGGGGCCCGCACAAGCGGCGGAGCAUGCGGAUUAAUUCGAUGCAACGCGAAGAACCUUACCUGGGUUUGACAUCGCCGGAAAUCCUUCAGAGAUGGGGGGUCCUUCGGGGCCGGUGACAGUGUGCAUGCUGUCGUCAGCUCGUGUCGUGAGAUGUUGGGUUAAGUCCCGCACGAGCGCAACCCUGUCGAUGUGCAGCGCGUAUGCGGGGACUCAUCGAGACUGCGGGUCACUCGAGAAGUGGGGAUGACGUCAGUCAUCAUGCCCCUUAUGUCAGGGCCUCACGCAUGCUACAAUGGCCGGUACAAUGGGCUGCGAUACCGUGAGGUGGAGCGAAUCCCAAAAAGCCGGUCUCAGUUCGGAUCGGGGUCUGCAACUCGACCCCGUGAAGUCGGAGUCGCUAGUAAUCGCAGAUCAGCAACGCUGCGGUGAAUACGUUCCCGGGCCUUGUACACACCGCCCGUCACGUCCCGAAAGUCGGCAGCACCCGUAGAGCGGUGUCCUAACUCAGUCGUAACAACGUAGCGCGUAGAGUACCCCCAC
rnacentral:rRNA from 1 species